AGACGUUCCCAUUGACCUCUUCUUUCUCAUGCUCUAUCUUCUUCUGCUUUUUCCUGUAGCCCAGUGUCCUCUUUCCUCUUUUCCCAUCUGUUCCUUUAUGCAGAAAGGUGUUGAACUGUAGACUUAAGUGAGGGCAUGUCUUGUCAGCUGUUGUAUAUGUACUCUUUAGCACAGGGUUUGGUCUGUGGGAGGUGCUAAGAGUGAGUGAGUGUGUGUGUGUGU
rnacentral:lncRNA from 1 species